rnacentral:tRNA from 1 species
GAUGGAAUGGCCGAAAUUAAGCAAUAAAUUGUAAAUUUAUUUAUGAAUUUAAAAAUUCUUCUAUCA